rnacentral:rRNA from 1 species
GGAUGCGAUCAUACCAGCACUGAAGCACCGGAUCCCAUCAGAACUCCGUAGUUAAGCGUGCUUGGGCGAGAGUAGUACUAGGAUGGGUGACCUCCUGGGAAGUCCUCGUGUUGCAUUCC